UACGUAGGGUGCAAGCGUUGUCCGGAAUUAUUGGGCGUAAAGAGCUCGUAGGCGGUUUGUUGCGUCGGCUGUGAAAUCCCGAGGCUCAACUCCGGAUCUGCGGUGGGUACGGGCAGACUAGAGUGAUGUAGGGGAGACUGGAAUUCCUGGUGUAGCGGUGAAAUGCGCAGAUAUCAGGAGGAACACCGAUGGCGAAGGCAGGUCUCUGGGCAUUAACUGACGCUGAGGAGCGAAAGCAUGGGGAGCGAACAGG
rnacentral:rRNA from 1 species